rnacentral:misc_RNA from 1 species
AAGUCGUAACAAGGUUUCCGUAGGUGAACCUGCGGAAGGAUCAUUAACACGUAUCCAAACGUUAAACCCCCCCCCGUGAACCUUCAUCCUGCUCUUGUAACCCGCGUAGUUCGCAAUCUCUGAUAAAUCAUAGCCCGGAAAGUUGUAGUGAUUCAGAGACCUCUGGCUUCUACGAUUCCUGUAGACCGUACACUCGGGCAGGAGCUUUGCCAAAGGGUCCCCAUGCCCCCUAAUAACCCCACAGUUUAAUGUAAAGCUCAAUGUAAUACAUUGGGUAAAAAAACCGAACAACUGUUAACAAUGGAUAUCUUGGUUCUC